CGGUCUUACUGAUACUUGAGACCGGUGCGUAUACAAUGAAAGAGGAAGUGUAAUUUGGAAAUUUUCCAAAUCACCCUUGGAAGUAUUUGUUUACCGUAAAAACAUAUCAGAAAAAUUGAUACAUUUCAAUUAAAAAAUGUUUCAGUCACCUGAAUAUUGCAAAACUUUGUCGCUGAAAUUAUCCCAGGUUUUACAUGAUGUUGGUGUUAAUGAGAAAUGGUGUUGAAAAUGAGAAGAACAUUUUUGCUGAUGGAGAGUUUAAAUACGAUUACAUUCAGAUCAAUUGGUAAAAAGAGAACUUUGUAUCAUCUUGGGAGUCAGACUGAAGGUACCACUACUACAGGACUUAAGUCAGAUGUUGACGGGGUGAUUGUAAAUUAUGAUUAUAAUGUGAUACAAGACUGGCCAGAGUGGAAACAUAAUAAGACCAAUCUUCGUAUGAUACAGGAUGAGAAUGUUACACCAGGGUAUUGUUUUCUACAAUUACUUCGAUCUGAUGAGCCUCUUUUUUAGACAAACAUUCCUAUUGGCAUUACAUAAGAGAUAUCAAUGGGAGAAUACUAUUAAGAAAUACAUUCCCAACACCUUUAAUUCAAGAAGGUACUGAGCGACACGGGCCAUCAAAUGCUGUCCCCGGGGAUAUGAAUGGUGGAUGUUGUGACCGUGACAUUGUAUUUGCUUUUCCUUUUAAUUCAUGGCCACAAUCAACAUCACAAUUCCUUGAAAGAGCUGCUGUUAUGAGAUGGCUACCAUCUGAAAGUGUCAGAUAUGCUGCUAGCUAUGAUUGUUUUGUUGUUGGUGCUAGUAGCAAAAUUGCUAUUUAUCCAGAAUUAGAGUAGAGAAUAUCUACUUCUCUACCAGAGAGAUGUCUCAUGUUUAAUCUAAAUAUCACGCAAUUACAAUGCUAUGUUUUAAUGAAAAUUACUUUGAAAUCCUUUUUUUAUUCCGAAGCAAAGAAUGCUUUGUCAAGUUUUAUGUGUAAAACCGUUUUAUUGCAUUGUAUAGAAAAAACAGAACAAGACAUAUGGAAAAGGGACAAUCUUUUUACAUGUUUAUCUUACUGCUUGCUUAAACUCAAUAGCCAUGUUCAAAAUGAAAAUUGCCCGCAUUUCAUAAUGGCUGAAAAUAACUUAAUGGCUGGACAAUUUCCAGCUGAAAAGAAGCGAUACGUUUUACAGAAAUUAUGUGACAUAGUGCAGAGCGAUGGAAGAUGUUAACUACGAAUAAGCAUUGAUAAUAUUAGCCAGAGACUACAGGUCAAGUUGGGUACAUUUGUCCAUAAUGUUUAUAGUUUUCAAAACUCACUUGAGAUAUAUGAAGAUCGUUUGUCUGAACUUUUCAUUAGCUUAAUGAAAGGGAUAAGCGAAUGCCUAUUACUAGUGCUCAUGAAAGUGUCAAAUGACCACAUAUGUCAUCUUAAACAAAUUAUCUUAAAGCUAACAUACUACAGUAUACGCGGAAAUAGACUCGAUCAGCUGGCAAGUCGUUGUCUGGCACCAUUCAUAUAUUCAACUCUAGGCCUUGAAUUGGCGUCAUCAAGUAUUGAACAGAAUUAUACAGUUCAAUAUGAAGCACUUCAGUGGCUUACAUUGGGUUUGAACUCAGAUGUUACAUCCGGGAGACUAAAACUAGCGUCCAUGUUCUACUGUGUAGGUGAUAUGGAUAUAGCAGAGUUCAUUCUGAGACAAACUGAAAGUCGAUAUAACUCUACUGUUGUUGAACCUGUAUCGUUAUCGUUUUACAAGUCUGUCUGUUGAAUUAUUUAAGAGAAAAUGCAGUGAGCAAAGUGAAAAUUGCAUAAAAAAUGUCACAUCAUGUUGUGUAAAAUUCCUGCAGACAGAAAUAAAUUGUUUACCUCGAGAACUACGGUAUGAAAUCAUUAGACCUCUUCCAGAUGAUGUGCCACACAGAAGUAUAUCAGAAUGUCAAUGGAUGAACUAUGCUGCUGUUGAUUCUCUCCCUUAUCUCUACUUUUUACAAUACAAGACAUACGGUCAUCUACAAAGGGAUCAGGAUCACCAACUGGCACUAAGUAACCUUGUAGAGGUUAUCUUUACUAGAAGAAACUUAAGUCACAUGGAGACAGCUCUCAACCUUCUCGGUCAAUGUUUGGAAGAAGAGGACAAACCAAGGGAAGCGUUACAGUGUUAUGUGUUUUCCCUUCAACAAAGCGAACGAAACAAUGCAGCAAAUUUUCAUAUUUGUAAUUUACUUAGAAAGUAUGCUUCAAAAAUGUAGACGUUCAAAUUCCCUCUACGGGUGAAAUGACAAAGUUAAACGUUUGAAACUUUGUUAAAUUGUGUAUUUAACCAAAAUGUUGUCUCUUGUUAGUUUGCCACAAACGUUCAGUAAAUGUGCAGUUAUAUAAUACCGCUUUAACAAACAAACCAAAGUUGUAUUGUGAUCAUAUCAUCAUAAUUAACAUCACAUUUGUUAAGUACAUGUAAAUAUGAUAUAAUUUAUCCAAGGAUAAAAUUAUUGAUGAAAAUACAAUUUAUUAACAAUG